rnacentral:rRNA from 1 species
AGUCACUGACAUUAGAUACCCGCGUAGUCCAGGGUGUAAACGCUGCAGACUUGGUGUUGAGAACCCUUCGGGGGUGCUCAGUGCCGGAGAGAAGUUGUUAAGUCUGCUACUUGGGGAGUACGUCCGCAAGGAUGAAACUUAAAGGAAUUGGCGGGGGAGCACCGCAACGGGAGGAGCGUGCGGUUUAAUUGGAUUCAACGCCGAAAAACUCACCAGCAGCGACUGUUACAUGAAAGUCAGGUUGAUGACCUUACUAGAUUUUCAG